rnacentral:rRNA from 1 species
UGGGGAAUUUUGGACAAUGGGCGCAAGCCUGAUCCAGCCAUGCCGCGUGCGGGAAGAAGGCCUUCGGGUUGUAAACCGCUUUUGUCAGGGAAGAAAUCUUCUGAGUUAGUACCUCGGGAGGAUGACGGUACCUGAAGAAUAAGCACCGGCUAACUACGUGCCAGCAGCCGCGGUAAUACGUAGGGUGCAAGCGUUAAUCGGAAUUACUGGGCGUAAAGCGUGCGCAGGCGGUUUUGUAAGACAGAGGUGAAAUCCCCGGCUCAACCUGGGAACUGCCUUUGUGACUGCAAGGCUUGAGUGCGGCAGAGGGGGAUGGAAUUCCGCGUGUAGCAGUGAAAUGCGUAGAUAUGCGGAGGAACACCGAUGGCGAAGGCAAUCCCCUGGGCCUGCACUGACGCUCAUGCACGAAAGCGUGGGGAGCAAACAGGAUUAGAUACCCUGGUAGUCCACGCCCUAAACGAUGUCAACUGGUUGUUGGGAAGGUUCCUUCUCAGUAACGUAGCUAACGCGUGAAGUUGACCGCCUGGGGAGUACGGCCGCAAGGUUG